rnacentral:rRNA from 1 species
UACGUAGGGUGCGAGCGUUUAAUCGGAAUUACUGGGCGUAAAGCGCGCGUAGGCGGCUUUGCAAGUCGGGUGUGAAAUCCCCAGGCUUAACCUGGGAACUGCAUUCGAGACUGCAUUGCUAGAGUAUGGGAGAGGGAAGUGGAAUUUCCGGUGUAGCGGUGAAAUGCGUAGAUAUCGGAAGGAACAUCAGUGGCGAAAGCGACUUCCUGGACCAAUACUGACGCUCAUGUGCGAAAGCGUGGGGAGCAAACAGG